rnacentral:rRNA from 1 species
CCUACGGGUGGCAGCAGUGGGGAAUAUUGCACAAUGGUGGAGACCCUGAAGCAGCGACGCCGCGUGAGUGAAGAAGGAUUUCGGUAUGUAAAGCUCUAUUAGCAGGGAAGAAAAGGACGGUACCUGAUUAAGAAGCACCGGCUAACUACGUGCCAGCAGGCGCGGCAAUACGUAGGGGGCCAGCGUUAUCCGGAUUUAGUGGGUGUAAAGGGAGCGUAGAGGGCAGCAAUAGUCUGGAGUGAAAUGCCGGGGCCUAACCCCGGAACUGCUUUUGAAACUGUGCAGCUCGAGUGGAGGAGAGGUAAGUGGAAUGCCCAGUGUAGCGGUGAAAUGCGUAGAUAUUAGGAGGAACACCAGUUGCGAAGGCGGCUUACUGGACCGUAACUGACGUUGAGGCUCGAAAGCGUGGGGAGCAAACAGGAUUAGAUACCCGUGUAGUC